AACGAACGCUGGCGGCAGGCUUAACACAUGCAAGUCGAACGCGUGCAGCAAUGCACGAGUGGCGCACGGGUGCGUAACGCGUGGAUAUCUGCCUUUUGGUUCGGAAUAACCCCGGGAAACUGGGGCUAAUACCGGAUGGUUCCUACGGGAUAAAGAUUUAUCGCCAAAAGAUGAGUCCGCGUCCGAUUAGCUAGUUGGUGAGGUAAUGGCUCACCAAGGCGACGAUCGGUAGCUGGUCUGAGAGGACGAUCAGCCACACUGGGACUGAGACACGGCCCAGACUCCUACGGGAGGCAGCAGUGGGGAAUAUUGGACAAUGGGGGCAACCCUGAUCCAGCCAUGCCGCGUGAGUGAUGAAGGCCUUCGGGUUGUAAAGCUCUUUUGGCGGGGACGAUGAUGACGGUACCCGCAGAAUAAGCCCCGGCUAACUUCGU
rnacentral:rRNA from 1 species